CCUCCCUCGUCCCUCUCGUGGGCCUUCGGGCUUGGCAGCAGGGCCUUCGGUCAGCUGGGGUGCCUGGAUUGCUAGCUAGGGUUUGGGGUAGUUUGGAAACGCACGAGGGGCGAGGUGAAGGGGGGAGGGGAGAGGAGUGACGUCGGUGUCGCGCGAGGCCUAGCCGCCUAGAGCAGCCCGCCGCCGGCGGUGCUACUACUCGUCGCAGAGGGGAGGCCGCGGCAGCGAAGGGAGGCCCCCACCUUCGAAGAAGUCUCCCAUGUGCUUCGAGACGUUCCCGGAGCGGCAGUAUAACGAAGAGCACGUGGAGAACCAGGUCGACAAGGGAAGUCGGCAGUUGAUAGAGCGCGAAUAGGGGCGUUCCUGUUAGGGAAAGCGGACCUUGAACUAUUGACGACCGAUACAGCUCGUUUGAUAAGGUCCCCACUAAUAGUCGUAUUAACCAGAAGAAAAUAAACCCUUUAAUAAUCUCGGAGAUACCCCGUGUUUCCUCAAUAGUUUCAAGCAAAAAUAACAGUUGAAGAGUUGAAGUUACACACAGAAGCAUUGACGAUAACGACACAUGAUACAUUGUGUUGUUCUCUCGAUGGAGAUGUGAGGAGAAAGACCAAAAAUACCCCAAGACAGUCCUAACGACCACCCGUAGUUCGUUGAAUACGGUCUCUACCUCGAAUUAGAAAAGCACGACUUCUAAUUCCCUUUCACCUAGGGUAGAGAAUAACGUGACUAAAGGCAACAACAUUCGAAGAAGUACUUCCUGAACCAUAGAAUGGAGGGUCAAUAUGACAAACCGUAAAUAUACUCAACCUAAAUGGACGCAAUGAAGGUUUUCUCCGAUCUCUGUCCGGACUUUCCCCUAGGUUCGCUCCUCAAGAGAAAGAGUUCAAAGAAGGGACGUUAAGACUCUGGUCAAGACCUAGGUUAUCGGAGUUAUAAGGUAUCCGAAGAAACACCUUCUAGACUAUCCCGUCUGGCCCCAGUCUGUAACCUUUGGAGUAGUAACGGCCCAAGUCUAAGAUGACUCCGUUUGUCCUCCUCCCUUUCCCCAGUUUCCCGUGACCUCGUUUCUAACCGACUCUUCGACCGACGCCAGUUCUCAUGUCUCUCGUGUAGAGAGCUGCGUAGACUGUUUCAAACUCGGAAGAUGUUUUUACUUACGACACUUAAGGACCACGACGCAAUGGGUUCACUGCAACAGACCUCCUGUCCCUCGUAGCAGCCAAGCUGGCGCUGGAGAAAGAUAAGGGAUCAAAUAAUAUAGUAGACAUUCACGAAGAUCCCCUCCACCACUACGCUCUUACACACUAAAAUGACUACAUCCCUUGGUACGGCUUGACACGUUACUAUCGUAGUACAGACAAUCGUGUUAAAUCGGCGUACGACUGACGACUCUCAGAAAGCGAAACGUAAAAACUCCGGGUCUCCGCAAGGUACUCGUUACUUGUUCAAUCGCGUAACCAAACGAACAAACAGCUAGGCAAACUAAGAUAGACGAACUCAAUACUAUCGGACUGCUAGACUCUUCCACAAAACCACUUAAUUUAACCG
rnacentral:rRNA from 1 species